rnacentral:rRNA from 1 species
UACGGGGGGGGCCAGCGUUGUUCGGAAUUACUGGGCGUAACGCGUGCGCAGGCGGUUUUGUAAGUCUGAUGUGAAAUCCCCGGGCUCAACCUGGGAAUUGCAUUGGAGACUGCAAGGCUAGAAUCUGGCAGAGGGGGGUAGAAUUCCACGUGUAGCAGUGAAAUGCGUAGAGAUGUGGAGGAACACCGAUGGCGAAGGCAGCCCCCUGGGUCAAGAUUGACGCUCAUGCACGAAAGCGUGGGGAGCAAACAGG